rnacentral:misc_RNA from 1 species
ACACCUCAACUCUCGUGGUCCGCCACGAUGAGCUUGGACUUUGGGGGUCUUGCCGGCCUAGCGUCGGCUCCUCUCAAAUGGAUCAGCUUGCCAGUGUUUGGUGGCGUCACAGGUGUGAUAACUAUCUACGCUUGUGGUUUCUGCCAUGCAACCUUCAGCAAUGGGGGUUCGCUGGAGCUCACAGAUGUCUCUCCUUGGGGAGGACAGCUUUUUGAAC